rnacentral:tRNA from 1 species
GCCCCUGUAGCUCAGCGGUCAGAGCAGCCCGCUCAUAACGGGUUGGUCGCAGGUUCGAUCCCUGCCGGGGGCA